rnacentral:lncRNA from 1 species
CAAGAGUCUUCUGAGAAUCGUUUUUAGUAGAUUCAGAAUGAUGUUUCAGUAGCAGAGUUUCACCAUGCAGCAAAUCAUCUGGAUCUGGUUCAAACUUGUUCUGAUUUCUAGAAAGGUCAUCAGGAUCUGGUUCAUAAGCAAGUUUCCCCACAGGCCUAAUUGGACUUUGAAUAUCUAGAUUUUCAUUUCCAUCAUGAAUGGUCAACCCAGAGUCUUGGAUUCUCUGUAAUUUUUGAUCAUCCGGAUCAGGCUCAUCAAUUUUCAUAUCAUAUAUUCCCAGCUGUAGCAAUAACUUAUCAUCUCGAUGAGGCUCUGCUCGUGCUAUUUCAUCUGCUUUAGUUUCAUCAGGAUCAGGUUCUUUAUGACCUUGGUUGAAACAGGCUUGAUCUACCAAGGUUUCAGUUGUUAUGUGAUGUCCAGGAUCAUGUCUUGCCAUGCUUGGGCAUCCCAAAAUGUUCGAUUGUGCUUCUCCAUCAUCAGGAUCUGGUUCAUCUAUGGUCUCUCUUGUCAGAAUCUUGGUGUCCAGAAUCUCCAUCACCACAGGUUCAACUACAUUUCCAAAACUUGAAGCACCUGAAUCAUCAGGAUCAGGCUCUUCACUUGAACAUAUGGCUGCUGAUUUCCCAAGAGUCUUCUGAGAAUCAUUUUUAGUAGAUGCAGACUGAUGUUUCAGUAGCAGAGUUUCACCAUGCAGCAAAUCAUCUGGAUCAGGUUCAAACUUGUUAUGAUUGCUAGAAAGGUCAUCAGGAUAUGGUUCAUAAGCAAGUUUCCUCAAAGACCUAAUUGGACUUUGAAUAUCUAGAUUUUCAUUUCCAUUGUGAAUAGUCAAACCAGAGUCUUGGAUUCUCUGUAAUUCUUGAUCAUCCGGAUCGGGCUCAUCAAUUUUCAUAUCAUAUAUUCCCAGCUGUGGCAAUAACUUAUCAUCUCGAUGAGGAUCUGCUUGUGCUAUUUCAUCUGCUUUAGUUUCAUCAGGAUCAG